UACGAAGGGGGCUAGCGUUGCUCGGAAUUACUGGGCGUAAAGGGCGCGUAGGCGGCCUUCUAAGUCGAACGUGAAAUCCCCGGGCUCAACCCGGGAACUGCGUCCGAUACUGGAAGGCUUGAAUCCGGGAGAGGGAUGCGGAAUUCCAGGUGUAGCGGUGAAAUGCGUGGAUAUCUGGAGGAACACCGGUGGCGAAGGCGGCAUCCUGGACCAAUAUCGACGCUGAGGAGCGAAAGCCAGGGGAGCAAACGGG
rnacentral:rRNA from 1 species